AUUGAACGCUGGCGGCAGGCCUAACACAUGCAAGUCGAACGAGUGGCGGACGGGUGAGUAAUGUCUGGGAAACUGCCCGAUGGAGGGGGAUAACUACUGGAAACGGUAGCUAAUACCGCAUACCAUCAGAUGUGCCCAGAUGGGAUUAGAUAGUUGGUGGGGUAACGGCUCACCAGGGCGACGAUCCCUAGCUGGUCGGAGAGGAGGACCGGCCACUCGGGAACUGAGCCACGGUCCAGACUCCUACGGGAGGCAGCAGUGGGGAAUAGUGCACAAUGGGCGCAAGCCUUGUGCAGCCAUGCCGCGUGUAUGAAGAAGGCCUUCGGGUUGUAAAGUACUUUCAGCGGGGAGGCGUUACCCGCAGAAGAAGCACCGGCUAACUCCGUGCCAGCAGCCGCGGUAAUAC
rnacentral:rRNA from 1 species